rnacentral:tRNA from 1 species
GGGUCGUUAGCUCAGUCGGUAGAGCAGUUGACUUUUAAUCAAUUGGUCGCAGGUUCGAAUCCCGCACGACCCAUCA